CUCCUUCACAAGUAACACAAACAACAUAUUGCUGUUCUACGUAUCCACUAUCCAGGCAGCAUAUGGUUGUGUCUUGCUUCCUCAUCUGGUAAAAAUUAUUGGAAAAGUCCAAAUGGAGCAAAAAAAAGAUCUCUAACAACCAACAAGAUAAUAGACUUCAACCUAAUUUCAUCAAUAUUACAUGAAAUCAAAGCCCAGGUACUUGGUCUAUACGGUGUGAUGCUGGGGUGCUUUGGACGGCACAACCUGGUCCGUUAG
rnacentral:lncRNA from 1 species